AGAGAGUUGCUUGAAUGGUAAAAGGCAAGUUUGCUAAACUUAGGCCCAUUGAUAUUAUAUAAUGGAGCAGGUUCGAUUCCUGUACUCUCUU
rnacentral:tRNA from 1 species